CCGAGGUUGGCCCUUCAGUGAUGGAAGUGACAGCAGCUGUCAGGACAAUACAAGCACCCAGGUUUGGAAACAAUUUCAGUUUGAUGUUGGAUGCUGUGAGAAGCCAAAAGCUUCAUGCACAAGGGAAAGCUUUGCCAUCAUUAGGAAAUGGAGAAUAACUUUGUUGCUCCAGCAGCAUACCAGGAGAAGAAGAUGAAUAUGGGAAUCACAGUUACUCUGCUUGCCUCUUCCUGUCCUGCAGAUCAGCUAAAUCCYGCAUGUGCUGCCCCAGGAGAGCCCCCACAAAAACCAGAAGCCUGUGUCACUGUCAGUGGCUGCAUURUGCCCUGCUGUCAUUUUCUUUCUGGAGUCUAGUUUUUCAAUAUUUCAUAGUAUCAAACAAUAAAACCACAAACAAUGUGGCCUUGCAAGGGUUUAGCUUACAGCUGUGGGAUUAAACCUGCUGCUGGAGAGAUACUUCUAG